UACGAAGGGUGCAAGCGUUACUCGGAAUUACUGGGCGUAAAGCGCGCGUAGGUGGUUUGUUAAGUUGGAUGUGAAAUCCCCGGGCUCAACCUGGGAACUGCAUCCAAAACUGGCAAGCUAGAGUAUGGUAGAGGGUGGUGGAAUUUCCUGUGUAGCGGUGAAAUGCGUAGAUAUAGGAAGGAACACCAGUGGCGAAGGCGACCACCUGGACUGAUACUGACACUGAGGUGCGAAAGCGUGGGGAGCAAACAGG
rnacentral:rRNA from 1 species